rnacentral:rRNA from 1 species
UACGGAGGAUGCGAGCGUUAUCCGGAAUCAUUGGGUUUAAAGGGUCUGUAGGCGGGCUGGUAAGUCAGAGGUGAAAGCGCUUAGCUCAACUAAGCAACUGCCUUUGAAACUGUUGGUCUUGAAUGGUUGUGAAGUAGUUGGAAUGUGUAGUGUAGCGGUGAAAUGCUUAGAUAUUACACAGAACACCGAUAGCGAAGGCAUAUUACUAACAAUUAAUUGACGCUGAUGGACGAAAGCGUGGGGAGCGAACAGG